GACAGAGGGUGCAAACGUUGUUCGGAAUUACUGGGCGUAAAGCGCGUGUAGGCGGCUUUGUAAGUCGGAUGUGAAAUCCCGCGGCUCAACCGUGGAAGUGCACCCGAAACUGCAAGGCUAGAGUAUCGGAGAGGAAGGUGGAAUGCUUGGUGUAGAGGUGAAAUUCGUAGAUAUCAAGCGGAACACCGGUGGCGAAGGCGGCCUUCUGGACGAUUACUGACGCUGAGACGCGAAAGCGUGGGUAGCAAACAGGAUUAGAAACCCCCGUAGUCC
rnacentral:rRNA from 1 species